UACAAAAAAAAAAAAAAAAGUCAAGUAACUUCUCCAAGACCCAUUUAAAACACACACAACCUAUUUGAAUGGCCCACAUCAAGAACAUUGACAACACCAAGUGCUGGUGACGAAGUGGAGCACCAAGAACUCUCUUUGCUGGUGGGAAUGCAACAUGGCACAGACCCUCUGGAAGACAGUUUGGAGAUUUCUUACAAAACUAACCAUACUCAUCAUAUGAUCCAGCAAUCAUGUGCCUUGGUAUUUACCCUAAGGAGUUGAAGAGUUGUAUUCACACAAAACCUGCACGCAGAUAUUUAUAGCAGCUUUAUUCCUAAUUACCAAAAUGAGGCAGCAAGCAAGAUGUCCUUCAGUGGGUGAAUGGAUACAUAAACUGGGUUACAUCCAGACAAUCGAAUAUUAUUCAGUGCUAAAAAGAAAUGAGCGAUCAAGCCAUGAAAAGAGAUGGAGGAAACUUGCAUGCCUAUUACUAAAUGAAAGCAAUUAAUCUGUAAAGGCUAUAUACUGUAUAAUUCCAACUAUAUGACAUUCUGGACAAGGCAAAACUAGAGACAGGAAAAAGAUCGGCAGUGUGGUUGCCAGGGUAAGGCAGGAAGGGAGGAAUGAACAGGCUGAGCACAUUUUUAGGACAGUGAAACUAUUCUGUAGGAUACUAUAAUGACAGAUACAUGUCACAGUCCACAGAAUGAACAAUACCAAGGGUGAACCAUAAUGUGAACUACGGACUUUGAGUGAUAAUGUUGGGUCAAUGUGGAUUCAUCAGUUACAAGAAUUGUACUACUCUUGUGGGGGAUGCAGAUGCUAGGAGAGGUUAUGUGGGUCCUAGGGCUGGGAGUCUACAGUUUAUCUCUGUACAUUUCCCUCUGUUUUACUGUAAGCCUAAAACUGCCCCCAAAAAGUUGUCUUUAAAAAAAAAAAAAAAAACAGCUAUCAACUCACAAAUCUCAUACAUAUUUUUCUUUAUUUUCUGGCUUAAACAAGGAAGGAAUAUUCUGAUGAUUACUUACUUUGGUUUUAAAGUCCCAGAUGAAGAAAAUUAUAUUAUGACAACCUUGUUUCAGAAAGCUUCUCAUGCUCUCUACCAAUUAGAUUAGGAUAAGCAGAAAGACUGAAAGGCGUAAGACAUGGUUCUCAGAAAUAAUAAACAACAGUGAACACACCUGCUAUUUACUUACUUCUUGCCAGGCGCUACAAAACACCUGAUGGAAAAUGAGGGAAAAGUGCUGGUCUCACAAAGGUCAUUUCAGCUUUAUCUGGGCCCACUGGCAAGUAAAUACCAGCAGAAUCCUUUUGGACCAAGGACAGAAAUAUGUAAAAUUCAGUACAAAUAAACAUAGAGAAAAAUUGGAAGGUCCUUCUGGAAAGUACUUAUUUCAACCCUCUCUCAGCCCAUCCCUGUGAAGGUUCAGGGGAUUAAAGUCUUCCAUCUCUAGCCAAGAAGAGGACCCAUCAAAAAUUAUAUCCUAAGGAGUCACAUGGCAUCACUUCUGCACUGUUCCACUGAUCAUUCAGACCAAUCCUGAUAUCGUCUGGGAGGGGAUUACACGGAGUGUGACAGACAGGAGGCAGAGAUCAUUGCAAGCCAUCUUAAAGGCAGGCUACCACAACUACACCUCCAGGUAAUGAACUAUUAAUAUUUGCUUUAAAACUCUGAAUCCUUGUUUCAAGUAACCUCUUUUCCCUAAUGCAUUCAAGUUUAUAUUACCCUUGGGAAUUGAGCUGAGAUCCAGCCACUGCACUCCAGCCUG